rnacentral:lncRNA from 10 species
GUUGAUUCAGAUUCUCCUCGGCCUCUCUGUAGCAUUCCUUCCUCUAGGAUAUGGGGCGGAACCCAUUCUGAAAUGAGGGUCUUAGCACCCACAAUCAGACAAGCACUGACCUGCUGAUCCUGCAACUUGACUCCAACGACUCUGAAGGUGUUGCUGGCAGUGUUGUGGUAGAUGUUGAUCCGGCUGAAUCCCUGCUGGCCAGG